rnacentral:rRNA from 1 species
UGAGUAACCUGCCCUGGACUUUGGGAUAACCCUCGGAAACGGGGGCUAAUACCGGAUAUGACGGCUCACCGCAUGGUGUGGUUGUGGAAAGUUUUCCGGUCUGGGAUGGGCUCGCGGCCUAUCAGCUUGUUGGUGGGGUGAUGGCCUACCAAGGCGACGACGGGUAGCCGGCCUGAGAGGGCGACCGGCCACACUGGGACUGAGACACGGCCCAGACUCCUACGGGAGGCA